AGCAGCCGCGGUAAUACGAAGGGACCUAGCGUAGUUCGGAAUUACUGGGCUUAAAGAGUUCGUAGGUGGUUAAAAAAGUUGGUGGUGAAAUCCCAGAGCUUAACUCUGGAACUGCCAUCAAAACUUUUUAGCUAGAGUAUGAUAGAGGAAAGCAGAAUUUCUAGUGUAGAGGUGAAAUUCGUAGAUAUUAGAAAGAAUACCAAUUGCGAAGGCAGCUUUCUGGAUCAUUACUGACGCUGAGGAACGAAAGCAUGGGUAGCGAAGAGGAUUAGAUACCCUCGUAGUCCAUGCCGUAAACGAUGUGUGUUAGACGUUGGAAAUUUAUUUUCAGUGUCGCAGUGAAAACAAUAAACACACCGCCUGGGGAGUACGACCGCAAGGUUAAAACUCAAAUGAAUUGACGGGGACCCGCACAAGUAGUGGAGCAUGUGGUUUAAUUCGAAGAUACGCGCAGAACCUUACCAACACUUGACAUGUUCGUCGCGACUCUAAGAGAUUAGAGUUUUCGGUUCGGCCGGACGAAACACAGGUGCUGCAUGGCUGUCGUCAGCUCGUGUCGUGAGAUGUUGGGUUAAGUCCCGCAACGAGCGCAACCCUUACUUUUAGUUGCCAUCAUUUAGUUGGGCACUCUGAAAGAACUGCCAGUGAUAAGCUGGAGGAAGGUGGGGAUGACGUCAAGUCCUCAUGGCCCUUACGUGUUGGGCUACACACGUGCUACAAUGGCAUCUACAACAGGAAGCAAAACGGCAACGUUAAGCAAAUCCCGAAAAGAUGCCUCAGUUCGGAUUGCACUCUGCAACUCGAGUGCAUGAAGCUGGAAUUACUAGUAAUCGCGGAUCAGCGUGCCGCGGUGAAUACGUUCCCGGGUCUUGCACACACCGCCCGU
rnacentral:rRNA from 1 species